UCCUACGGGAGGCAGCAGUGGGGAAUUUUGGACAAUGGGCGAAAGCCUGAUCCAGCAAUGCCGCGUGUGUGAAGAAGGCCUUCGGGUUGUAAAGCACUUUUGUCCGGAAAGAAAUGGCUCUGGUUAAUACCUGGGGUCGAUGACGGUACCGGAAGAAUAAGGACCGGCUAACUACGUGCCAGCAACCGCGGUAAUACGUAGGGUCCAAGCGUUAAUCGGAAUUACUGGGCGUAAAGCGUGCGCAGGCGGUUGUGCAAGACCGAUGUGAAAUCCCCGAGCUUAACUUGGGAAUUGCAUUGGUGACUGCACGGCUAGAGUGUGUCAGAGGGGGGUAGAAUUCCACGUGUAGCAGUGAAAUGCGUAGAGAUGUGGAGGAAUACCGAUGGCGAAGGCAGCCCCCUGGGAUAACACUGACGCUCAUGCACGAAAGCGUGGGGAGCAAACAGGAUUAGAUACCCUGGUAGUCCACGCCCUAAACGAUGUCAACUAGUUGUUGGGGAUUCAUUUCCUUAGUAACGUAGCUAACGCGUGAAGUUGACCGCCUGGGGAGUACGGUCGCAAGAUUAAAACUCAA
rnacentral:rRNA from 1 species